UACAGAGGUGGCAAGCGUUGUUCGGAAUUACUGGGCGUAAAGGGCGCGUAGGCGGUUCGUUAAGUCCUGUGUGAAAUCCCCCGGCUCAACUGGGGAACUGCACAGGAAACUAGCGGGCUUGAGUUCGGGAGAGGGAAGCGGAAUUCCGGGUGUAGCGGUGAAAUGCGUAGAUAUCCAGAGGAACACCAGUGGCGAAGACAACUUCCUGGACCGACACUGACGCUGAGGCGCGAAAGCUAGGGGAGCAAACGGG
rnacentral:rRNA from 1 species